AUGGACAUGAGGAUCCCUGCUCAGCUACUGGGGCUCCUGCUGCUCUGCCUCCCAGGAGCCAGAGGUGACAUCCAGAUGACCCAGUCUCCAGCCUCCCUCUCUGCCUCUCUAGGAGAGAGGGUAACUAUCACGUGCAGGGCCAGUCAGAGCAUUAGCAAAUGGUUUAACUGGUAUCAACAGAAACCAGGAAAGGCUCCUAAGCUCCUGAUCUAUGAUGCAACCAGUUUGUUAUCAGGUGUCCCAUCCAGGUUCAGUGGCAGUGGAUAUGGGACAGAGUUCACUCUCACCAUCAGCAGCCUGCAGCCUGAAGAUGUUGCCACUUAUUACUGUCAACAGCAUAAUGAUUAUCCUCCCACAAUGAUACAAGUCAUAACAAAACCUCCCAAGGAAGCAGAAGUGAGAGGCUGGGCUGCCCCAGCUGCUCCUCAAGGCAUCUUCAGCUGCUGA